AGAAGACUUACCCAUUUGCAGCCGAAGCUGAGUGACAAGCAGCUCCACCAGUGAGGACACUCUGUAUGGACCUGUUCUGCAGAGUACACAGACAAGACCCUUUAGAACAUAACUGGCAAAUGUGGGAAGAAGGGAUAAGUAACACUCUGCCUUUUUUAUCCCUAUUAAAACAUGGUUGGUAUUUUGGAUAUAUGAAACCCUGAGGAGCAGACUCGUAUCAAUCCUAAUGCUGCUGAAAGUUUCAUGGAGGAGAUCUUGG
rnacentral:lncRNA from 12 species